AUUGAACGCUGGCGGCAUGCCUUACACAUGCAAGUCGAACGGCAGCACGGGUGCUUGCACCUGGUGGCGAGUGGCGAACGGGUGAGUAAUACAUCGGAACGUACCUUAUCGUGGGGGAUAACGCAGCGAAAGUUGCGCUAAUACCGCAUACGCCCUGAGGGGGAAAGCGGGGGACCGUAAGGCCUCGCGCGAUUAGAGCGGCCGAUGUCUGAUUAGCUUGUUGGUGAGGUAAAAGCUCACCAAGGCGAUGAUCAGUAGCUGGUCUGAGAGGACGAGCAGCCCCACUGGGACUGAGACACGGCCCAGACUCCUACGGGAGGCAGCAGUGGGGAAUUUUGGACCAUGGGCGCAACCCUGAUCCAGCAAUGCCGCGUGAGUGAAGAAGGCCUUCGGGUUGUAAAGCUCUUUUGUCAGGGAAGAAACAGCAGCUCUAACACAGUCUGCGAAUGACGGUACCUGAAGAAUAAGCACCGGCUAACUACGUGCCAUCCGCCGCCGUAA
rnacentral:rRNA from 1 species